rnacentral:rRNA from 32 species
AUCUGAGCGUCUUAUUUUAAUAAGUCAAAACUUUCAACAACGGAUCUCUUGGUUCUGGCAUCGAUGAAGAACGCAGCGAAAUGCGAUAAGUAAUGUGAAUUGCAGAAUUCAGUGAAUCAUCGAAUCUUUGAACGCACAUUGCGCCCAUUAGUAUUCUAGUGGGCAUGCCUGUUCGAGCGUCAUUUCAACCCUUAAGCCUAGCUU